AUAUAUAUAUAUAUAUAUAUAUGUAUUCAUGCAUAUGCUGCCUAAAGAACAGUUUUGUUUCGUUCAACAAAAAUACUUUUAAAAUGGUGGAGUCAUCCUGACUGCAAACAGAAACCUUUCAACAACUAAAGAAAUAUCAAUAGCAUUUGUAGGUUGACUAAAUCUCAUAACCUGGAAACACUAACAUUGCAUAACUAUAUAAAUUAUUUGUUUAGUUUCGUUUUGUGUUGCUGCCUUUUUUCUUUAUAUCCUUUCGGUGACUAUUAUUGUCGUUGUGAUGAGGAUGUUUUUGUUAUUGCUAGUGUGUUUGUUUUACAUAUUCAUACAAUUAAUUCAUUAAUAUUUUAGGCUUAUGAAAUAGCAUAUUUGUAUAUAUAUAUAUAUAUAUAUACAUAUACAUAUAUAUAUAUAUAUAUUUCGAAAACAGUGUGUGCAUAAACAAAUAGGAAAAACAAAGAGAAAGUAAAAGAAAAGCAAAUACAUUUUAUAUUUUCAUUGAUGUUUUCAAUAUUCCUCAGUAUUUUUUAAAUGUUUAUUCUUCCUCAAUGACGCACAGCGGUUCUUCAUCUGCAGACACUCACUAGUUGAGAGAUUAAGAACCUGGAAUACAAUUUACAUGUUCAUGAUUUUCAAACUGGUGACAGCAAUUACAUUAUAUGUCCAUAAACAAGACCUUCUUACUCUGUCUUGCUUCUUUUUUUUCUUUUUUUUUUUUCCAUGUAUUCAGUUGAUUGUUACAUACAAGUGCUUGCAGUCAAUAUAUACAACUUUAUACCAAUAUCAAUAGUUACACUCUUAUCAACAACUUUGGAGCUUUCGGUGAGCACUGUAGUGCAGGGAUAAGCUCUCAGUAAGAUGAUUUCACCAUCUAGGAUUGAUUCCCAGUUAAAACUAAUUAACAUCAUGACACUGCAAAUGCACACAAUACUUCAUUUCCAUCUCUCCUAGAAAGCUGUGGCCAUUUGCCUAUGUUAGAGAACAUUACUAUUUUCCAUAUACAUAAAUACAUAUAUAUAUACAUAUAUAAAUAUAUAUAUAUAUCUUGGUUCACUCUUUUUCCUCUAUGCACUGAUGCUGGACUUGCUGAUAGCAUUAUUAAUGUUUUGAGUUUUAUGUUCUGAGUUCAAAUUCCGCCAAGGCCGACUUUGCUAUUCAUACUUUUGGUGUUGAUAAAAUAAAUACCAGUUGAGCCCUGUGCCAAUGUGAUCAACUUGCCCCACCCUUUUCAAAUUUCAGGCCUUGUGUCUGUAGUAGAAAGAAUUAUCAAUGUAAGUGCUCUUAACUUUGUACUUUCUAUGAAGGGGAAGCAUUUGAAGAAUGCAUAUCACAAGGAUUAUCUAGAAUGACUUGUUAAAUAAACCUAAUAAUAAUAAUAAUAAUAAUGAUAAUAAUAAUAAUAAUAAUAAUAAUAAUAAUAAUAAUAAUAAUAAUAAUAAUAAUAAUUCAAUAAUAAUAAUAAUAAUAAUACAAAUAUAUAAGGACAUUUUGGUAAUCUUCCUUUUGAUGUUGUCAGACAUUAUACAAACAAAGGUUCAUAGAGUUGCCAGGUUAUAGAUUACAUAGCCAGGGGCAUCCAGCCAUAGAAUCUCUGCCAGAUCAAGAUUGAAGCCUGGUGCAGCCAUCUGGUUUGCCAGCCCUCAGUCAAUCGUCCAACCCAUGCUAGCAUGGAAAGCGGACGUUAAACGAUGAUGAUGAUAUAUGUGUUCAAAUCUUUUUAUUACAGCUUUCGGGUAAAGUAUAUUUAUUCACAUUGACUUCGUCUAAAGAGCAUACAGCUGAGCUGCUUAAGAAUUGGGUAUUUGAAUUAGUUACUAGUGAAAGCCCUUCCUUAUAUGGAUGCAUAUUAAAAAGAAAAGAAGGUAACCCAGAACAUAUACAUACAUACAUACAUACAUACAUACAUACAUACAUACAUACAUACAUACAUACAUACAUACAUGUAUAUAUAUGCAGGCAAAAUUAAUAGAGGUCACAAAAGUAUAUAUCUAUACACAUAUACACAUAUAGUCAUACAUACAUUUAUACAUGCAUUGUGUGUGUGUAUGUAUAUAUAUGUAUAUGUAUAUGUAUAUGUAUAUAUAUAUAUAUAUGUAUAUAUAUUUAUAUAUAUCUCAUGAGGGAAGGAUGAAAGAAAGACCAGUAUUCAGUUAGGAGACUGGUGAUAGGUAAAUAAGCAAUAGGCAGAUGUACAGUAGGAAGAUAUGUGGACAUGAAAAAUGCCAUGAGGCAACAAGUGUAUGCUUGACAGGAGGCGUGUGUAUAUGUGCGUGUGUGUGUGUAUAUAUACAUAUAUCUGCAUGCAUAUAUGUGUGUGUGAGUGUGUGUGUGUAUAAUAUAUAUAUAUAUAUACACACAGGCAUAUAUGCAUAUACAUGUGCACACAUACAGACUUAUACAUAUACACAUAUACAUACACACACACAUAUACACAUAUGUACAUCCUACCUGCACCACUACCCCUUCUGUUCAUGUGCAUUUCAUCAUGCUUGUGUGAGUGCAUGCUUCUUUUCUCUAUGCAUCCCGUGUAUCAACCAGCCCACAUGAUCCUUUGUCAUCUCCUCCAUGAGAAGCAACCUCUUGACGUCAGUCUUCACUUCAUCCCGAGUCUCUUUCGAUUUCCGUCAUCUUCAGGCUCCAUUCACUUGAAGCACUCAAUACUUCCUUAUGUAGCUGACAUCUUCAGACUACAUUACAUGUCCGUACCAGAACAGUCUUCAUGUUUGCAAACUAUUGCUGAUUCUUCAUAUACUUAGUUUUUCUCUCAAUGCAUUUAUACUUUGUUUUCCAUGCAUCCUAACAUCCCACUUCUGAUGGGGUGUGUUUGCCUUGUUUCUUUCAAAGUCUUCACAAAUUUUAUGCAUUCUUGGUCCACAUCUACUUCCCAUUCUAUGUCUCUAUUCAAACACAAACAUCAUACUAUCUGAUCUUCAUCAUGAAGAAGAAGAUCUCUCUAGUCAACAGAGGUGAUAGGUUUUUAAAAUUUUCCCAGCCAGUUCUUGCUCAGGCUACUAUUCCACUGGUGCAUCCCCCUCUUGUAGGUAACAGAAACUAUCAACGACUUCUAAGAAGCCUCCCGAGUGUUUGAGCAUAUCUAUUUCCAAUGAGAUCUUUGAGCAAAUGACCUCUGUCCAUCAGUCUGCUUUCUUCACUCAUCUGCCUGUGAUUCCACUGCAUCACUUACACAUCCAUUGUUUACAAUGAUUGCAAUGUAUAAAAUUCUUAACUUUUCUUUUUCUGAAUAUCAAAUCAGGCCGUUUCCAUGAUGACAGAAAGAUCCUGUAAGCUUUAACAAUAUUUUAAUAAUACUGUAAGUUUUAAUAAUGUUCUAAUAAUACUGCAAACUUUAAUAAUAUUUUAAUAAUACUGAAAGUUUUCCUAUGUUUGCUUUGAAGUUUUUUGAUUCCUAAUUUUGUUUCCAUGUCUGGAAUUUCCUCUCUUAUUCUACCAUAGAUUUAAUUGAAAAACUAGAUCAUUGGAAAUAGAGAAAAUCAUGGACAGAACUUAUAGGACUACAAUGAACAAAAGGGUGCUGAUGGGUCUAUUCUUGAUCAUUAAAUUUGUCACUGAGCUCACUGAAGACAAUCACAUUGCUAACUACACCUCUUCACAUAGUUUUUCACCCUGCCAAGUGUCUUCUACAUAUUGAAAAAUGCAGGUAUAGUGGUUUAGUCUUCCCUAAGUAAUUCUCUUGUAGUCAUAUCAUCAGAAAGUUGAUAUUGGUAUUAUCACAAUUCAAGUAAAAGCUGAACUGCAGCUCACCCGAGCAAUCUCUGUUCCUAAUCAACUGUGCAAUGAAUCUGAAAGUAAACUUCAUAACCUGGUCCAGAAGUCAACUACCUCUGUUACUGAUUCACUCUCUAGUUCAUCUUUUUGGCUUAAGUUUACAAUGAUAAUUUUAUCCAGCAAUUAGGUGUGACAGCUUUGUACAUAUAUAUAUGCAUAUGUAUAUGUGCAUGUAUGUAUAUAUAUGUGUGUGUGUACAUAUAUAUAAAUAUAUUUUUUUAAAUAUAUAAUACUGUACCAAAAACUUUCUGUUUCUUAUUCUACUAUAUAUAUAUAUAAACAUGUGUGUGUGUGUAUAUAUAUAUAUAUAUAUAUAUAAAAUGUUAAAGAGCUCCCUCAACCCAGGGAACAUCUUAAAUUCCAGGACAAACAUCUUCAGACCUGGCUAACACUUCAGAAAAUCCCUACUGAAGUCAUGGGACCCACAAGCUGACUGUAGCAAUUACAGACAGUGAUCUAAGGAAGACAAUCCCUUCCUCUUAGCCUUUUUCCUUUGUUCAUGUGUUCAACAGCUAGCCACAAGGUCCUUUCUCCCUCCACUUUGAAGAGAGGUUAUAGGCUGUCAGCCAUUAGGUUCUGAAGAGGUAUCAUAAAGCUAAUUGCUUUAUGGACAUGAAACCCACGGUAAGCCCAUAGAACAGCCAUAACUAUUAAUUACCCUACUGCUCUAUAACUUAGAAUGCGCUUGUCUUUUGGAUUUAUGAUUUAUUGAUUUACUCUUUCGGAUUUAUGAUAUAUAUAUAUAUAUAUAUAUAUAUAUAUAUAUAUAUAUGCAUAUAUACAUAAACAUAAAUUUAUAAAUAACCAGUAACAUUAAUCGCUACAUUAAAGUGGCUGUUCCAUGUUACUACUAGUUUAACCCCGGGCAGAUCUUCCACCAGCUGGUUGUUGGUACAGCCCCGCACCAUGUACGUACAUAUAUAUUGCUAGCAGGGGAGCAAACCCCUAUCAUCCUCUAGCAGACAACAGGAUCAUGAGACUGGCUCAGCUUUGAACUGGUUGGCUCAUCUUCAGUUGUGAGCACCUGGUCGCCAGAAAGAUAGUCAGAGUCCACUCCAGCCAGCAAUAUAUUGUAAACAAAGUGAGCAUUGGUCACUGAUAUAUAUAUAUAUAUAAGCAAGCAGAGUUAGCGGUUAUAGUAACCGACUAAGGGAUAAAAUAUCUGUAUUUACUAUCGGUAUCAGUUACCUGUGCUAUAUAUAUAUAUAUAUAUACAC
rnacentral:lncRNA from 1 species